ensembl:lncRNA
GAUUUUUUUUGGGCGGAGCUAAAACGGUGGCUCGAUGACGCACUGGAGCCACUGAGCUCCUGGCCCCUCCCCAAACAACAUAACUAGAGCACACAUUCGCAUCAGUUCGCCGCUCAAUCGCGAGUUUCUGUGGACUACCAUCGUUUAAAUACCUUGACCGGAGCAUAACUGGUUAACUUCACACAAGAGACCUACUGUUGGACAAUUGGUUUUGGCUUUAAAGGAGAAAGUCAUCGCUCUGUAAUUGGCCCUUGGACUCCCCUGGCAUCUCGUGUAAAGCAUGAAGUUUUCAGCUAUGAAGGUAUAUUUUAGGCCUAUGUCUUAGUGUCCAGUGUUUUAAAAGUAUUGAAAAUAGUGCCUUUAGGUGUUGUUGUUUUGUUUUUUAAUGUAGAUUUCCAGAGACUCAAGAAUUAAAAACAAGCCGUGAUGGAUGAGAACCAAGCCCUUAGGGAGGAGAACCAAGCUCUGAGGGAAAGCACUGCACGAGCAGCUUCGGAUGACAGCGGCUCACUUCAAGAGCAGGUGAAGCAAGUUGGGACAAUGUUGAAGACGUUUGCUCGCACUGGGCAAUCAGGUGCAGAUCAGACCUUAAUGCUGCGACGUCUUGGAGAGUUUGGCGAUGUUGUGCGAAGCAUGGACAACAAAAUGGACACUAUGCUGCAACAUUUCAGUGCCAAUGUGUCUGUUGGAGAGUUAUCCCUGCCAGGGGAUCUGUUACUCCCCCUAGACACCCAGGAAGAUUUGGCGUUGCUUGACAACAGUUUGAGGCAGGAUAAAGAGCUCCAGGAACGAUUUCUUCGGUUUUUUUGGCAAUCAAAUGUGGGAGGGACCUAUAAGACAACCGUCUGGCGGAUGCUUCAAAGUACCUUCUCUAAUCACCUUUCCAUCAAUACAACCUGGACUGGAGUUGGGGAUAAAGCAUGUUUUAGAGACAUGUUCCUGAAGACCAUUGUUCAAAGUAAGUUGGAUGUAAUGUUUAGUAGAUGUGUAUGGCAUUAUGCCAUUCAAAUGGAAUGACAGAUCUGUAUUUUUCUACAGGAGCCAUCCGGAAGAACCCGGCAACACAGGAUGCCACUGAUGAAGCCGUCCCAGGUUAACGUUACGCGUUACCUGAAAGGAGCAUCUGACCGUGAAGGCGGAAAAAGGUGCCGCACAGCUGAGAGGGACCCACAGCAGACCCCUUAAACCUAGGCUGACUACUGACACCCCAGCAUCACUGACAACUGGAACCCUUUCUUUAUCCUGCAGUCAGUAACAUCAAGACCCCUAAAGAAGCCAGAAGUGUCAGACUGCACUCCCCAAUCCACACUGUUCACUGUGGAUAUUAUCAUAGUGCUUAACUCUUAUUAUAUUGUUAAAUAUAGCUUGUAAAUCCUUGUGCCACAGGUCAGCAUUGCAGUUAUAUCUGUUCUACUACUUUUUUUACCUCAGUAUUUUUUAUAUAUAUGUGAAGAUGUUUAUCACAGAUACAAGAGACAUCUUGUACCCCAGGUCAGCAAUGCCAAUAUAAUGGUCUAUUCUACUCCAGAGCUUUAUUCUAAAUUAUUACCACUUAUCUUAUUGUUAGAAAUGGCUUGUAAAUGUGAUGUUAUACCUGAAUUUUUUUUGGUGUCCUGCACAUUCUUUGGUACCAGAUAUACUCAUUACUUAUGUUUACUGGUAAUUCUUUUCAUCCCAGAGCUGACCUCUUUAUAUUAUUAACAAUUAUUGUAAGUGUUAUAAUUUGCUUGUAAGCUAAGGCUGUUUUUUUUUUUAACAAUUUAAUUGGAAACCUGCAUGUUCUUUUGUGUGUGUGUGUGUGUAUAUUUUUUUUCUCUUUUUUUCUGUUAUUUAUAUUUCAGGGAUCUGACAUCAUGUUUCAAUGACAGUUACUGUACUUUGAAAUGUGGAAUUAAAACGUCAAAUGGAAAUUUGUCUGGUUUGAUCAAUCAUUAUUCUUGAUAAACUGCAUUAUAUAUAUAUUUAUAUAUAUUUAUAUAUAUAUAUAUAUAUAUAUAUAUAUAUAUAUAUAUAUAUAUAAGCGGCGACCGAUCGCUCGAAAAUAGCGUUUGCCUCCGACGGGCCGCGGAAGGGUCGCCUUUGAUAUAACGGCGGUUGGCCCGCGGGCCGGCCGCGGAACGAAGGCGGUAGGAAGGCGGCUGCCGCUUCUAAAAAGCGGCUGCCGCCGGCGGUGCACCGUCAAACGUGUUUGCGAUUACGCCAUUCUGACGCUUCUACUGCCGCCGGAGCGCCGCCGGUGGUCCGCCGACUCAUUGCUAUCUGGGUGAUUGCCUAAACCGGUGUUGUGUAAUAUUCGGUUCCUGUGAAAAACUGUUCCCGUGGGUGGGGUUUACAUGACUAUUAAUUAGUUAUCUUGUUGUGGGCGUGUCCUUGAAACAACGCAAACGAAUGGAACUGAAAAUAUCAGUGCACGCUCCUCAAAUCGCUGCUUGUUUAAUGGAUUAUUUUGAACAG